CUUGGUCAUUUAGAGGAAGUAAAAGUCGUAACAAGGUCUCCGUUGGUGAACCAGCGGAGGGAUCAUUAUCGAGUUAUUCAACUCCCAAACCCUAUGUGAACUUACCACUUGUUGCUUCGGCGCGCGCUUCGGCGCCGCCGAGGACACUUAAACUCUUUGUUUUUAUAAGCAUUUCUGAGUGGCCGAAAGGCAAAAAUACAAAUGAAUCAAAACUUUCAACAACGGAUCUCUUGGUUCUGGCAUCGAUGAAGAACGCAGCGAAAUGCGAUAAGUAAUGUGAAUUGCAGAAUUCAGUGAAUCAUCGAAUCUUUGAACGCACAUUGCGCCCGCCAGCAUUCUGGCGGGCAUGCCUGUUCGAGCGUCAUUUCAACCCUCGAGCCCGACUCUUCGGAGGACGGCUCGGCGUUGGGGGACGGCAGACUCCCCCCGGCACCUCGCCGGGGACGCCGCCCCCGAAAUUUAGUGGCGGCCCUCCGAGGCGACCUCUGCGUAGUAACUUGUUCUCGCACCGGAAAGCUCAGAGCGGCCACGCCGUAAAACCCCAACUUUUUUUAGGUUGACCUCGAAUCAGGUAGGACUACCCGCUGAACUUAAGCAUAUCAAUAAGCGGAGGAAUC
rnacentral:rRNA from 1 species